UACGAAGGGGGCGAGCGUUGUUCGGAUUUACUGGGCAUAAAGGGCGCGCAGGCGGCUCAUUUUGUCAGGCGUGAAAGCCCCGGGCUUAACCUGGGAACUGCGUUUGAUACGGAUGGGCUAGAGUUCGGGAGAGGAGAGUGGAAUUCCCAGUGUAGAGGUGAAAUUCGUAGAUAUUGGGAAGAACACCGGUGGCGAAGGCGGCUCUCUGGACCGAUACUGACGCUGAGGCGCGAAAGCGUGGGGAGCAAACAGG
rnacentral:rRNA from 1 species